rnacentral:rRNA from 1 species
UACGUAGGGUGCGAGCGUUAAUCGGAAUUACUGGGCGUAAAGCGUGCGCAGGCGGUUUGCUAAGACCGAUGUGAAAUCCCCCGGGCUCAACCUGGGAACUGCAUUGGUGACUGGCAGGCUAGAGUAUGGCAGAGGGGGGGUAGAAUUCCACGUGUAGCAGUGAAAUGCGUAGAGAUGUGGAGGAAUACCGAUGGCGAAGGCAGCCCCCCUGGGCCAACACUGACGCUGAGGAGCGAAAGCCAGGGGAGCAAACGGGG